rnacentral:rRNA from 1 species
UACGGAGGGGGCAAGCGUUGUUCGGAAUUACUGGGCGUAAAGGGCGCGCAGGCGGCUGCUCAAGUCAGGCGUGAAAGGCCUGGGCUCAACCCGGGAAUUGCGCUUGAGACUGGGCUGGCUUGAGUGCGGGAGAGGAUGGUGGAAUUCCUGGUGUAGCGGUGAAAUGCGCAGAUAUCAGGAGGAACACCGGUGGCGAAGGCGCUCUGCUAGGCCGCAACUGACACUGAGGGACGAAAGCUAGGGGAGCGAAUGGG